rnacentral:lncRNA from 1 species
UAGAUUUUCUGAAGAAAGAUGCAAGAAUGUUAGCAAAAGUAAUGUUAAACAAAUAAACAAAAUAUGUUUAUUGGUCCUGUGGAGUUAUGUGGUUAACAAGGAAAGAUGUAGAAAAAGUUUAAACCGAUCAAAAUACUGUCCUAACAUUAAUAAUAAUUUCAGUUCAUUUUUGUUUCAGGGUGUGACUCCAUCUCCAAGUGAUCUGGCUUCCAUGAGUGGAGCUUUAGACACUCUGAGUCCCGAAAACCUGAGAAAUGCUGAGUUCAUACGGACAUGAGUGUGCGUUAGGCUCCUCCCACUGCUGCCAAUCAUUGAUGACAACUUCUUGUCAGAACUGAGUAUGAAGGAGUUUACCUGUGAGAGUUACCAGGAAAUUGUCAAAACUCUAAGUGAUCAAAUCACUCAAAUGAGGGAGGAGCUACAAACAUCUGUAUACACAAAUUUCAUACUGCCAUUCCUCUCCGGAAACACAGGUGACUUUUUAUUCUUUAGUCAGAGAAAGUUGCCAAUAAUCAUGAUAUUAAUUAAAAACUUUAAUUUUUGUUGUGAUUUUAGAUACCGGGUGCAUGUCCAGUACUUCUGGAAGUAGGAACUGGCUAUUGAAGAACUUUGGCAAGUUCUCCAAGUAUGCAACUUUGGAAGAGCUUGACAUUCUAAAUGCAGAUUUCUCCAGUGUGAGUAACAGCAGCCUUGCACCGAUUAUACACUGCUCGAAGGUUUGACCCUGUCUUUAGGCCACAGGCUCUAACGGCUUAUUUUGUGUUAUGUUUCAGUUUGAUUCUUUGGAUCUGCUGACCCCAAGCCAAGCAGCUGAACUCACUCUGACCUCUGGACCACUGAACAGCACAAGUCAGAUCGACCGAGUGUUUGACCGACUAAAGACUGGAGAUGCUUUCAACAACGUGGAUGAAUUUUUAACAACGCUCUCUGAUCUGAAGGUAAGUGGCACGCUUAAACUACCUCAAAUUUGUUGCUCAACAACCCAUGCAAUGAGGCGGCAUCCAUGACUUGACCUGAGAUAUCAUUCCCACCUGUUGCAUUGCUUUUCUUCAGGCUGACCUAAGCAUUGUCCCAGCUGUGAGAGAUGUGAUGAUGAAUAGAACCUUCCAGAUCAUCAGCAUCAAGUUUCCACAGUUUGAGACCUCUGACUGGAUGGAGUGGUUUGACCUCAAGCUG